GGAUUUGGUAUCUGCGCUCUGCUGAAGCCAGUUACCUAGGUUAGGUAAUCUGCCAGGAUUAACUAACCUUCGAAAAACCACCUUGCCGGGUGGUUUUUUCGU
rnacentral:antisense_RNA from 1 species